rnacentral:rRNA from 1 species
ACCCGCUGAAUUUAAGCAUAUAACUAAGCGGAGGAAAAGAAACUAACGAGGAUUCCUCUAGUAACGGCGAGUGAACGGGGAAAAGCCCAGCUCUGAAUCCAUUGGCCACUGGUCGGUUGGAGUUGUAGCGUAUAGGUGCGGUUGUCCGUUCGUUUUGCGCACCCAAAGUCCCCUUGAGUGGGGCUAUGGUCCGAAGAAGGUGCUAGACCUGUACGGGUGGCGAGACGAUCGGUUGAUUGUUCCUUGGAGUCGGGUUGCCUGGGAUCGCAGCCCAAAGUUGGUGGUAGACCUCAUCUAAGGCUAAAUAUGGUCACGAAACCGAUAGCAAACAAGUACCGUAAGGGAAAGUUGCAAAGAACUUUGAAGAGAGAGUUCAAGAGGGCGUGAAACCGCUGAGAUUGAAACGGAUAGAGUUGACUGAACUCGGCUGCAUUCAUCCGGUCGGUCUAGCGGUCCGACGGCUUUGACUUCCUCGACGAGGGCGAAGCCGUUGGCAACUGUUGAACAUUUGAUCGGUGUAUUUGCGGCUGGUAUGCGCUGAGAGCUUUGCGAUCGCGUGUUGACAGACGUGCAGUGGACCAUUCCUUGAAGGCGUGGAACCCUUCGCGCUUUGAGAUAUGUCGGUUGUAAAGUUUUGAACGUGGCGUCUCCGCUAUGGUGCGUCAGCUACUUCGAGCUGUUGUGGAUGCCGGAUGGUCGCGUGCGACUGUCUGCAGUCAUCGAUGAUGCGAGAGGAGUGUGAACGCGGCAAGGCGUUGAUCUCGGUGUGAACGUCGACCACCUAUCCGACCCGUCUUGAAACACGGACCAAGGAGUCUAGCAUAUGCGCGAGUCAUUGGGUGAUAAACCUAAAGGCGUAAUGAAAGUGAAAGUCGUCCUGACGCAACCGAUAUGGGAUCCGUGCGGUUUUUGAAGCCGCACGGCGCACCAUAGCCCCGUUCCCGUUGCUUGCAAUAGGGCGGAGGUAGAGCGCAUACGCUAGGACCCGAAAGAUGGUGAACUAUGCCUGAGCAGGAUGAAGCCAGAGGAAACUCUGGUGGAAGUCCGAAGCGGUUCUGACGUGCAAAUCGAUCGUCUGACUUGGGUAUAGGGGCGAAAGACUAAUCGAACCAUCUAGUAGCUGGUUCCCUCCGAAGUUUCCCUCAGG